rnacentral:rRNA from 1 species
ACGAACGCUGGCGGCGUGCUUAACCCAUGCCAGUCGAACGGAAAGGCCCUGCUUUUGUGGGGUGCUCGAGUGGCGAACGGGUGAGUAACACGUGAGUAACCUGCCCUUGACUUUGGGAUAACUUCAGGAAACUGGGGCUAAUACCGGAUAGGAGCUCCUGCUGCAUGGUGGGGGUUGGAAAGUUUCGGCGGUUGGGGAUGGACUCGCGGCUUAUCAGCUUGUUGGUGGGGUAGUGGCUUACCAAGGCUUUGACGGGUAGCCGGCCUGAGAGGGUGACCGGCCACAUUGGGACUGAGAUACGGCCCAGACUCCUACGGGAGGCAGCAGUGGGGAAUAUUGCACAAUGGGCGGAAGCCUGAUGCAGCAACGCCGCGUGCGGGAUGACGGCCUUCGGGUCGUAAACCGCUUUCGCCUGUGACGAAGCGUGAGUGACGGUAAUGGGUAAAGAAGCACCGGCUAACUACGU